rnacentral:piRNA from 1 species
GGCAGUGCCAGGCCACCUCACUAUCUCC